UACGGAGGAUGCAAGCGUUAUCCGGAACUAUUGGGCGUAAAGCGUCCGCAGGUGGUUAUCCAAGUCUGCUGUUAAAGCGCGAGGCUUAACUUCGUACAGGCAGUGGAAACUGGGUGACUGGAGUAUGGUAGGGGUAGCGGGAAUUCCCAGUGUAGCGGUGAAAUGCGUAGAUAUUGGGAAGAACACCAGCGGCGAAAGCGCGCUACUGGGCCAUUACUGACACUCAUGGACGAAAGCUAGGGGAGCGAAAGGG
rnacentral:rRNA from 1 species